AGGACGAACGCUGGCGGCGUGCUUAACACAUGCAAGUCACGGGGGCCCGCAAGGGCAACCGGCGAACGGGUGCGUAACACGUGAGCAAUCUGCCGAUUUCUGGGGGAUAGCCGGCCCAACGGCCGGGUAAUACCGCAUACGCUCGUCGAGAGAGUCUCUCGACGAGGAAACCUCCGGGGGAAAUCGAGGAGCUCGCGGCCUAUCAGCUAGUUGGCGGGGUAACGGCCCACCAAGGCGAUGACGGGUAGC
rnacentral:rRNA from 1 species